rnacentral:rRNA from 1 species
CCUACGGGACGCAGCAGUGGGGAAUAUUGGACAAUGGGCGAAAGCCUGAUCCAGCCAUGCCGCGUGUGUGAAGAAGGCCUUCGGGUUGUAAAGCACUUUCAGUGGGGAAGAAAGCCUUGGGGCUAAUACCCUCGAGGAAGGACAUCACCCACAGAAGAAGCACCGGCUAACUCCGUGCCAGCAGCCGCGGUAAUACGGAGGGUGCGAGCGUUAAUCGGAAUUACUGGGCGUAAAGCGCGCGUAGGCGGUCUGAUAAGCCGGUUGUGAAAGCCCCGGGCUCAACCUGGGAACGGCAUCCGGAACUGUCAGGCUAGAGUGCAGGCGAGGAAGGUAGAAUUCCCGGUGUAGCGGUGAAAUGCGUAGAGAUCGGGAGGAAUACCAGUGGCGAAGGCGGCCUUCUGGACUGACACUGACGCUGAGGUGCGAAAGCGUGGGUAGCAAACAGGAUUAGAUACCCGAGUAGUC